rnacentral:rRNA from 1 species
UACAGAGGAUGCAAGCGUUAUCCGGAAUGAUUGGGCGUAAAGCGUCUGUAGGUGGCUUUUUAAGUCCGCCGUCAAAUCCCAGGGCUCAACUCUGGACAGGCGGUGGAAACUACCAAGCUGGAGUACGGUAGGGGCAGAGGGAAUUUCCAGUGGAGCGGUGAAAUGCGUAGAUAUUGGAAAGAACACCGAUGGCGAAGGCACUUUACUGGGCUAUUACUAACACUCAGAGACGAAAGCUAGGGUAGCAAAUGGG